AGCGAGGGAGCCAGCCAUGUGAGUGUCUGGGAGAUGAGUCCAGGCAGGGAAAGCCCUGAGGUGGGAGUAACCAGGUGGUGGUGAAAAGUUCGUGGCUCAGAAUGAAUGAAAAAACAAGCAGCUUCUCUCCCAUCUGUGACUGAGAACUUACAUUGGCUUCAAGAGGAAACUCAAGUACAAUAAAUUACAAUCCUCUUCAUGGCUGCUGGCCAUGGGAACCUCCACCACAUUCUGAAGCACAUUUAAAGAAGCUUGUCUAACCCGCAAGAGGCUGUGUGUCCUGAUCAACAGUAUCGGGCCCAAGAGGAGCCCCAAGAGGCAGCAAGGUGGAGCAGUAAACUUUCUCCAGCUGAGGCUGGCAUUGUUAGAAGCAACCACAAAUGACAAUCUUGAGCAUCAUGCAAUGAGAACAAUUUUUAGUAAAAACAAAUCUAUUUUGGUUCUGUCUUUUGUAAACAAUUCCUUUGCUCUGAGUAGUCUCUACUCUGACUGAUGCUAUGAUCCAGAAGAUGCUUCUUUAUUCUUCUCAGUAAUCCCUGGCAAAUCACUUGGGGCCAGUCUUCAAGAUCCCAAAUUUACCUCCUGAAAGAAUAACUCCCUCCCUGAUCUGAGUCCUGUGGUCCUCCUUACCCUGAGCACUUGUGUUUUAGAUGUUUACUAGGUGACAUCUGCAUUCCUGAGCAGGCUGCUCUCAAGAUGUUCUUGAGUCCUUUCAUUGUGGGUCUUCUGGAAGCCUCCAUACUAAGGCAGUAAGUGGAGUCUGGCUGACACCCUGGGAUGGAUGUAAUAUGUCUCUCCAAAGCAGGCCAGAGGAUAUUUUAGGACCUCUGGAUAUCAUAAAGGAAAUAGUGUUUCCUCAAAGCACCUAGCUUUCAAAGUCAUGCUAAUUUGUCUUUGCAGAAAUGUUUAUUAAUUAGUCCUUUCAUAAUUCAGCAAUACUAGGUAAAUAAAAAUAUAUGAUUUGACUAACUGGCAGGAAUUUAAUAUUUUAGUGAGCAGAGAGUGGCUCAGGAGUGAUUUUUUAAAAAUUAAGCACACUACACAUUAAGCUCUUGUUUGAAAUUUAGAACUGAUUAUAUCACAACAUUAGAAAUCCAAUUGAGUUUUGGAGACCAAAGCAAAUAUUGAUGAUAGUGUCCUAAGAAUAAUAUGUUGUCAUAAAUUGCUCUGCUAAAAUUACAUUGUAUGAGAUGAACAUAUAUGUUUCCUUCUCACUAUAAUGAACUAUAUUUUGGAGUUAUUGGUUUGCCCCUUGUCAUUCAGUACUGACACUGUGAAAAGCAGAACAUUCAGACAAGAGAAGCUUCUUGCUAUAAUGUACUUCCUGUUAAGAUCUCUCCCCAAAGUAACAUAAUCAGAAUCUAAUUAAGCCUCUAUGUCUCAUACCAUUAUUCUGGAAAUCAGGUGGAUAGAGAAACAUGUCACAUAAUACCAUGGGGAUAUAGGGAGACAAAUCCAGUAUGCAUGAAAUCCUACAGACAAAUGAUCCAGUUUCAUCAACAAUCAAUGGAGUAAGAAAAAGGAUGGGUGAUAUAGAUUAAUGGGAGAAUAAGAGGCAUCAUGACCAAAUGCAAUGUCUGGGUCAAAUUCUGAUCCUAAUUUGAACAAAGUAACUAUAAAAAGACAUUUUUGAGACAGUCUGGGAAACCAAACAUGGACUUACUAUGUUAGGAGUUACAACUGUGUUGAGUGUGAUCAUUGGUAUUGGGAUGUGGAAUUAUAUUUAAAAAACAUGCAGUCAGAAAUUAAGAGGGGGAACGAGGGAGGAAGUCUUUGUGAGAGAUGCAUAAUGAAAGUAUUUAAAGAUGAAAUGAAAUCUCUGGAAUUUGCUUUAAAAUAACUCUAGAAGAAAAAAAGAACUUCAGCAAGGGACAGAUGAAAAUGAAGGCAAAAUGUUAAUGACUGUUGAAGUUGGACGAUGUAUAUAUGGAUGCAUUAUUCUCUCUAUUUUUGUGUAUAUAUUUGAA